AGCAUACUCCCUCCGUCCAGAAAUACUUGUCCUCAAAAUGGAUAAAAUGAAUGUAUAUAUAACUAAAAUAAGUCUAGAUACAACCAUUUCGAGGACAAGUAUUUUCGGAUGGAGGGAGUACAUG
rnacentral:pre_miRNA from 1 species